rnacentral:rRNA from 1 species
GAUGAACGCUGGCGGCGUGCCUAAUACAUGCAAGUCGAGCGAACAGACGAGGAGCUUGCUCCUCUGACGUUAGCGGCGGACGGGUGAGUAACACGUGGAUAACCUACCUAUAAGACUGGGAUAACUUCGGGAAACCGGAGCUAAUACCGGAUAAUAUAUUGAACCGCAUGGUUCAAUAGUGAAAGACGGUUUUGCUGUCACUUAUAGAUGGAUCCGCGCCGCAUUAGCUAGUUGGUAAGGUAACAGCUUACCAAGGCAACGAUGCGUAGCCGACCUGAGAGGGUGAUCGGCCACACUGGAACUGAGACACGGUCCAGACUCCUACGGGAGGCAGCAGUAGGGAAUCUUCCGCAAAGGGCGAAAGCCUGACGGAGCAACGCCGCGUGAGUGAUGAAGGUCUUCGGAUCGUAAAACUCUGUUAUUAGGGAAGAACAAAUGUGUAAGUAACUAUGCACGUCUUGACGGUACCUAAUCAGAAAGCCACGGCUAGCUACGUG